rnacentral:rRNA from 1 species
CUAACACAUGCAAGUCGANCGGUAACAUUGGUGCUUGGAUCCCAUGACGAGNGGCGCACGGGUGACUAACGCGUAUACNAUCUGCCUUAUACAGGGGGAUAGCCUUUNGAAAUGAAGAUUAAUAUCCCAUNNNACGNUGUUAUUGCAUGAUAGNGACUUUAAAGNUUCGGCNGUUAAAGAUGACUAUGCGUUCUAUUANCUAGAUGGUGUGGUAACGGCNCACCAUGGCNACAAUCGAUAGGGGCCCUGAAAGGGGGAUCCCCCACACUGGUACUGAAACACGGACCAAACUCNUACGGGAGGCAGCAGUGAGGAAUAUUGGACAAUGGGCNAAAGCCUGAUCCANCCAUGCCGCGUGCAGGAANACUGCCCUAUGGGUUGUAAACUGCUUUUAUACAGGAGANAAACCUUUUCACNUGUGAAAAGCUGCUGGACUGUAAUNAAUAAANGAANGGCUAACUUCGUGCCANCCCCCCGCGGNAAUACNGAGGAUCCAAGCCUUAUCCGGAAUCAUUGGGUUUAAAGGGUCCCUCGCGUUGAUAAUUNAG